CCUGUAAUAUCGACCUUGAUCAAGUUCGGCCUUCGCUCCAGCAUCCCCUUAAGGCACCAGCGAAAUAUAACUCACAGAAUAACGGCCCGUAUGCAGUUUAUGUCUAUGACAUGAAUCGUGAAAAAUCAACACACCCCACGAUAAUUUCCAGUAUCACAAUGAAACCAGGUAUUCCGGAUGUAUAGGAAAUCAAGAAAAUAGCAUUCCGAGUUUUAAGAUUGGGAGUCAUACAAGAUGUUCCAAUUGAAAUUGACUUGGAAGCUUGAAUUGGAAGCUGUCCUUAGACACAUUGAAGUUCCUCGUAAUAGUAAAAUUCUGGACAUCCAUAGACUCAACAGGACAACCAAAGACGGCAAAACUGAAUAUAUAUCCUCAAAGACACUGCGUAUAAAAUUUGCAGGCCAGAUUUUGCCGCGUGAAAUAUUCUCGUUUAAGACUAGGCAUGAAGUACGUCCUUUCAUCCCGAAGCCUCGCAUCUGCUUUGCCUGCUAUAGAGUUGGACACAUUGCAAAAGUGUGCAAGAAUUAGCCAAGAUGCCUUUAUUGUGGGAGCAAUAGACACGAAGCGGGAGCCGAGCUCUUGUUCUGGAAGUGUAGAGGAUGAUAAGUGCAUUAACUGCAAAAGUAAUCACCUCGCAACUUCCAAGGAAUGCCUAAUGGUUUUGAAGCAGGAUCAAAUUAUUAACUUGGCUGUCACCGAAAACAUCCCCAUCGCAAAUGCUAGAAGAAUCAUUAAUGAUAAUAGCAGAUAUUCUUCCCAAAGCAGGCCUAGAAUUUAAUAAUUGGAUUUAAAUAGUUUCUCAUAUUUAAGAAGGAAACCUAACUUUAGUUCUCCGGAACUGUCAAGUUUUGAAAGCUCUAACUCUUUCAAUAUUUUAGGUUCGGACGACUAUGGAGGAGAAUACUUAUGCAAAUAUCACCAGUUCGAGUCCAAAAUCGCGCACUGAUUCCGGUAGCGGACUCAACAAGAACCGUUCAUCUCCCUACGCGGGCCCCUUCCAGUCCUUCGCCUUCUCGCAGAAACUCCAGUCAAUAACAUCUUAAUAACGCAGAUUAUGAUAGAAGCACAUCAAAAUGCGCUCUAUGAUUAUCAAAGAGAAUGCAACCAAAAGGACAAAACACUCCAUAGCAGCUGAUUUCUUGUCCAAAACGUCCGGACGCAGGCAGGAUGCUGUCUUCAUCUAUACAGACGGAUCUAAGGAACCGAGCACCGCAGUAGGAGUCGGCGUCUAUUCACCGGACCUGGAUUUCGCCAUUGAGCAUAAACUUCCCAGGAAAACUUCUAUCUUUUCGGCGGAAUUUUGAGUCAUACUUCAAGCCACGCUUCUCGCCAGGGAUUGCGGAAAUAAAAAUAUUGUCAUAUUUUCUGACUCCAAAAGUGCUCUUGACGCAAUAAAUAACAAUAGAUAUAU
rnacentral:lncRNA from 1 species